rnacentral:rRNA from 1 species
GACAGAGGGUGCAAACGUUGUUCGGAAUUACUGGGCGUAAAGCGCGUGUAGGCGGUUUGGUAAGUCGGAUGUGAAAGCCUCCAGCUUAACUGGAGAAGUGCCGUGGAUACUGCAUAUCUUGAGGAGGGUAGGGGCAUCUGGAACGGUCGGUGGAGCGGUGAAAUGCGUUGAUAUCGGCCGGAACUCCGGUGGCGAAGGCGAGGUGCUGGACCCUUUCUGACGCUGAGGCGCGAAAGCCAGGGGAGCAAACGGG